CCCGCAUUGAGCACAUGUGCGAUAGGAUGGCUAUAGAGGGACCUCACCACCAACAGGAACCCUUCAGGUAUUCCAAAUUUGAGCAAUACUGCCUCUAGAAAGCCCCAAUGUAGGCGGUCGAAGGCUUUUUCCGCGUCUAAUUAUAUCAGUAAUCCACCCUUCCCUGGCGUCUUUUAUAGCCAUGCAUUAUGUUCAGUACUUUUCUCGUAUUUUCCGAUCCCUGUCUGCCCGCCACGAAUCCCACUUGGUCGUUGUGAAUAAUGUGGGGAAGGAUGUUUCUU